AAAAUGAAGCUGACAAGCAGAGAAUCAGAGAGAAAGAAUGUAGCAGAGGACUUCAGGGGAAGCUGUGUACACAAGGGAGAGCUGGUUCCCUCAGGAUGUGCAGGUCCUAUGUGUUCCCCAGGGCUACUUACAACUCUCUCUUCUCCUGCCUCCCUCAGAACGCUGGCUCGCUUGAGAGCACUGGCAUUGGACCUUAUGAACGCCACCCCUCCCAUGGCUGCCAUCCACUCACCACCUCCGAAUGCACGCUCACUCCUCCCCCUCAAAGACAGCAACAGCACAGGGCUUGCUGCCUUUCCUUCCAUGACUGCUGUGGUCACCACUCUUGGAUGACGCAGUGGACAACCUAAUCUCCCUUGUUUUUCUCAUCAGUGAGUCCAAUGAAGUUUUUUUCCAACUCCACCUCAGCCACACACUUCACAGACCCAGCCUAGACCCUAUCUUCCGCUCUGAAUAUCAAGCACCCAAUCUUAGAGUGUUGCCUUUUACCCUCCCACCUCAUCCAUUCUGUUCACUGUCGCACUUGGCUGACCUCAUUUGCUAUCACCACCCCGUUGAUUCUAUUGCUCCUUACCACCCUUGUCAUAUCACCUCCUUCCUAAUUUCUCAGCCUAAAUACCACAGGCCAGGACAGAAACCAUUCCCUGGCAGGGGCGCAGAUUCUCCUGGACAAAUGAUAAGCUGGGUUAAGCCCAAGUUUAACUCACCUUGCGGACACAAGAUGAGUAGGACUCUCUCCAUCUCCUCCCAUCCCACAGCCCCCAUCUUCUGUAUUUUCUCUUCAAUCUCCCAUUUCAUGCUGAAGGCCACCUUUCUCUGCCUACUCAUCAACACAUAGUUCAUGGCAGUUUCCUUGUCCCAUCAGAAGAG